UACAGAGGUCUCAAGCGUUGUUCGGAUUCAUUGGGCGUAAAGGGUGCGUAGGCGGCGCGGUAAGUCGGGUGUGAAAUCUUGGAGCUUAACUCCGAAACUGCAUUCGAUACUGCCGUGCUUGAGGACUGGAGAGGAGACUGGAAUUUACGGUGUAGCGGUGAAAUGCGCAGAUAUCAGGAGGAACACCGAUGGCGAAGGCGGGUCUCUGGACAGUUCCUGACACUGAGGCACGAAGGCCAGGGGAGCAAACGGG
rnacentral:rRNA from 1 species